AGAGUUUGAUCAUGGCUCAGGAUGAACGCUAGCGAUAGGCUUAACACAUGCAAGUCGAGGGGCAGCGCAAAGAUUAGCUUGCUAAUUUUGGCGGCGACCGGCGGAUGGGUGAGUAACACGUAUGCAACCUACCUUUAACACGGGCAUAACCCGGAGAAAUCCGGACUAAUUCCCGAUAAUACAGGGGCUCCGCAUGGAGAUAUUUGUUAAAGAUUUAUUGGUUAAAGAUGGGCAUGCGCUCCAUUAGUUAGUUGGUGAGGUAACGGCUCACCAAGGCAUCGAUGGAUAGGGGAACUGAGAGGUUUAUCCCCCACACUGGGACUGAGACACGGCCCAGACUCCUACGGGAGGCAGCAGUGAGGAAUAUUGGUCAAUGAGGGCAACCUUGAACCAGCCAAGUCGCGUGAAGGAUGACUGUCCUAAGGAUUGUAAACUUCUUUUAUAUGGGAAUAAUUGUAGCCACGUGUGGUUAUUUGCAUGUACCAUAUGAAUAAGGAUCGGCUAACUCCGUGCCAGCAGCCGCGGUAAUACGGAGGAUCCAAGCGUUAUCCGGAUUUAUUGGGUUUAAAGGGUGCGCAGGCGGGAGAUUAAGUCGGUGGUGAAAUUUUGCGGCUCAACCGUAAGAGUGCCAUCGAAACUGGUUUUCUUGAGUGUAGAUGAAGUAGGCGGAAUUUGUGGUGUAGCGGUGAAAUGCAUAGAUAUCACGAGGAACUCCAAUUGCGCAGGCAGCUUACUAAACUACUACUGACGCUCAUGCACGAAGGCGUGGGGAUCAAACAGGAUUAGAUACCCUGGUAGUCCACGCAGUAAACGAUGAUUACUAGUUGUUUGCGAUACACUGUAAGCGACUGCGCGAAAGCAUUAAGUAAUCCACCUGGGGAGUACGUUCGCAAGAAUGAAACUCAAAGGAAUUGACGG
rnacentral:rRNA from 1 species